UAGGGAAUAUUGCUUAAUGGGCGAAAGCCUGAAGCAGCAACGCCGCGUGUGCGAUGAAGGCCUUCGGGUUGUAAAGCACUUUUGGAGAGGAUGAGGAAGGACAGUACUCUCAGAAUAAGUCUCGGCUAACUACGUGCCAGCAGCCGCGGUAAAACGUAGGAGACGAGCGUUAUUCGGAUUUACUGGGCGUAAAGCGCGUGCAGGCGGUACGGAAAGUUGGAUGUGAAAGCUCCCGGCUUAACUGGGAGAGGUCGUUCAAAACUACCGAACUAGAGUGUGGGAGAGGGAGGCGGAAUUCCGGGUGUAGUGGUGAAAUGCGUAGAUAUCCGGAGGAACACCAGAGGCGAAAGCGGCCUCCUGGUCCACAACUGACGCUCAGACGCGAAAGCUAGGGUAGCAAACGGG
rnacentral:rRNA from 1 species